rnacentral:rRNA from 1 species
UACGGGGGGGGCAAGCGUUGUUCGGAAUUACUGGGCGUAAAGGGCGUGUAGGUGGCCAACUAAGUCCGACGUGAAAUCCCCGGGCUUAACCUGGGAACUGCGUUUGAAACUACAAGGCUAGAGUGUGGCAGAGGGGGGUGGAAUUCCACGUGUAGCAGUGAAAUGCGUAGAGAUGUGGAGGAACACCGAUGGCGAAGGCAGCCCCCUGGGUUAACACUGACGCUCAGGCACGAAAGCGUGGGGAGCAAACAGG